rnacentral:rRNA from 1 species
AGCGAACGCUGGCGGCAGGCUUAACACAUGCAAGUCGAGCGGGCACCUUCGGGUGUCAGCGGCAGACGGGUGAGUAACACGUGGGAACGUGCCCUUUGGUUCGGAACAACUCCGGGAAACUGGAGCUAAUACCGGAUAAGCCCUUCGGGGAAGGAUUAUCGCCAAAGGAUCGGCCCGCGUCUGAUUAGCUAGUUGGUGAGGUAAAGGCUCACCAAGGCGACGAUCAGUAGCUGGUCUGAGAGGAUGAUCAGCCACACUGGGACUGAGACACGGCCC